rnacentral:rRNA from 1 species
GACGAACGUUGGCGGCGUGCUUAAUACAUGCAAGUCAACUGAAGCAGUGGUAGCAAUAUCGCUGUGGAGGUGGCGCACGGGUGAGUAACACGUAGGUAAUCUGCCCUCAGGUCUGGCAUAACUCCGGGAAACCGGGGCUAAUAGCAGAUGAUGCAGCGGCUCGACAUCGAGACAGUUGUUAAAGCUAUGGCGCCUGAAGAUGAGCCUGCGUCUGAUUAGCUAGUUGGCGGGGUAACGGCCCACCAAGGCAACGAUCAGUAGCUGGUCUGAGAGGAUGAUCAGCCACACUGGAACUGAGACACGGUCCAGACUCCUACGGGAGGCAGCAGUAAGGAAUAUUGCUCAAUGGGAGAAAUCCUGAAGCAGCAACGCCGCGUGAGGGACGAAGGGCUUUUGCUUGUAAACCUCUGUAGUGAGAGAAAAAAAUCCCAAUCUUUGGGACAUGAUGGUAUCUCAAAAGUAAGCCCCGGCUAACUACGUG